rnacentral:tRNA from 1 species
GGGAGUGGAUGGUGCCUGGUGGCUCCCGUCGUCUUCAAAACGACUGCGAGGCGCAUUGCGUCUUGGGUGGGUUCGAUUCCCAUGCACUCCCGCCA